UUGUACUAUCUCCUUGCUAUUAAAAAAAAUAAAGAAUAACAGUAAUAUAUGCAUGCAUACAAAAAAGAGUUGAUCCUAAGCCAAGUACUAAAGGAAAGCAUAUAAAAAGGAAAGGUCUACUAAAACCACAGAGAACUAUGGCAAGUGAAUGUCUUUCAAAAAAUUCACGCUCGUCCAAACUGGGAUUUUAAGGGAAAGUUGGGUCUUCCGGUACGCUGUUUCGAAGGUGUAAAAGACUUUUUCAAGUUUGACUGAAUUUCCACUGUAAACCUAGUGGAAUGAGUAAUAUAAAGUUUUGAACGUAAAAUUAUCUGUGCAGCCAAAAGAUCCAGAAACAUAUUUAGUUAUAUCUAGUAGAAGGAACAUUGAUUGCAUUUCCCUUCUAGUUCUUAUCUCAAGCUAUAAACUCACACUAUGCUAUCUUUUCAGUAAUGGAACCUUUAUAUGGUGAUCAACAACAGAGUAAGCGAGAAAUUUAAGCUAAAUUUUACCGUGAUUAUGAAACUUACUGAAACAUCUCUGGUGUUUAGAACGAAAAUAACUUUAUUAAUAGAUUUUGAUACUAAAGAAAUAAAUAGCAUAUACCAGUAACUUCCCAAGAUGCUUUCCUAUGAAUCUGGUUUGUUAAGUACUUUUUUGUAAUAAGGAUUUUGCAUAGAAAAGUGAAAUCUACUAGAGUAGUAUUUUCUCUUUGGUUUAAGACCAGAAAUCAUGCCGAAUAGCAUUAGUUGUGAUAUGAUCUUUCCUUUUAUUUAAAUAUGUUAGGAAGAAAGGUCAUAGGCAAACAUAAGCUCAGAGUAGAUAAUAAGGCAUAUGCAACUCAUAUUGCAUUGAUAUAGUCAAUUCAUUAGAAGGUAUUUUAUGAAAUUCAACCAUUUCAAAGCUUAGAAGUUAGUUCUAGAAUAGGCACUCCUCCUGGCCUAACAACUUUUCUUUAACCGACUUCAAGAUACAAGAAGGAAAUGGUUGAAUUUCCUAUAUCACAUGUCAUAAGGAAAUGUUAAUUAAUAAAAACCAGAAGGAAAGGAAGAAAAUCACAUGUCAACCUAUCUCAAAACUCAUCUAAGUCGUUAAAAACAUGAAAAGUCUUAACUAUUUCGUAAGGAAAGGAAAAUUUCAAUUUCUAUUUAAUGAAAGACAUAAUACACUUGGACAAAGAGAAAAAUUAUAUUUUGGUAUAUUACCAAUAAAAUGUCAUCUUGUAAUGAUCUGACCGGUCGUUUUGCUUUCUAGAACUCCAUUCCCCUAAAUAAGACUUCCGUAUAUGCUUUUACUGUUUUAUGACUUACGGGAAUGGUUAAUUUAUGAUUUGGAAGGGUUCGGGUUAAAAUCGGAACACUUGAUUCCUUAAGGUUGGCUUAAAAGAUCAAGUUUGACUUCGGUCAACAUUUUUAGUAAACGACCUCAAAAUCGGGAUUUGAAGAUUCCAGUAGGUUCGUAUGAUGAUUUUGGACUUGGGCGUAUAUUCAGAUCGGGUUUUGGAUGACCCGAGAGCGUUUCAGCGCCUAAUAGUGAAAGUUGGUUCUUGAAGGUUUUAAAAGUUCUUUAAAUUUGAUUUGGAGAGGGAUUUGAUGAUAUCGAGGUCCAAAGUCUCCUAGCUGCAAAAGAAUGGCUCCCACGGAAUUUUGAGACUGGGAAUAGUUCCGUAAUAUCAUUUAAGACUUGCACAUAAAAUUUUGUGUUAUUCCGAAUAGUUUAAGUACGUUUCGGCGCAUUGGAAGUAAAUUGUAGAACUUGAAGUUCUUAAGUUUGAUUCAAUUAGUUUUGGGGUGCGAUUCUUAGUUUUAAUGUUGUUUCGGGUAUUUCGAGAGUUCGAGCGAGUCCGUUUCAUAAUUCUAAACUUGUUGGUAUGUUCGGGCGGGGCCCCGAGUGUCAAUCGGACGAGGCUCGGACCAAGAUGAGAAUUUGGAGCAGCAGCUGAUGCACCAGAUCUGUCAAAACCGCACCUGCGCUUGGUCAGCCGCAGCUGCGAGCUCGCAGGUGCAGGCCAAGCCUCGCAGAAGCGGCCAAGGGGGGCAGCCCAGGUUCCGCAGAUGCGGCCCAUCCUCCGUAAAAGCGGGUACCCGUCCGCAGAAGCGAUCCCAGUCGGCCCAGUGAAUUCCGCAGAAGCGAACCUUUGUCCACAUAAGCGAGGGCGCAGGUGCGGUCCUAUAACCACAUGUGCGAAAACCGCUGGAGGCAGUGAGCCUCAUUUAUUACGGGUUAGGACUAUUUUUAUCACAUUUACUUCCACUCUUGGGAGAUUUGAGAGUUUCUAAGGAGGGGAUUUCGACCUAACUUGGUGAGGUAAGUAAUUUUUUCUAAAUAUGAGUUUAGUACAUAUAUUAUGGGUAGAUUUUCACAUGAAAAUUGGUUUAAAAAAUGGGUUGAGAUAAAAAAAAACCUAGGGUUUAAUAAAAAUGAGAUUUUACCAUGAAAAUGAUUAUGAAACUUAGUGAAAAUCAUAUAUUAUGUUCCUAAGGUUAUGGGUAACAACUUUCUUCAAAUAUUUUCAGAAUCCGGGCGUUUGGACUUGGGGGUAAAUUUUAGGAAUCUUGCAAAUUUUGGUUGAGUAAUCACUUUAAUAAUGGAGAUAUGAACUUUUGAGCAAUAGAUUGAUCGAUUUAUAUAAUGUUUGGCUAGUUCCGAGUCGUUUGGCAUCAAAUUUGGAGGUUUGAGUGCAUUCUUGAAUUGGGAAGUAAGCUUUGAGACGAGGUAAGUCUCUUUUCUAACCUUGUAAGAGGGAACUUACCCCAUAGGUGAACUUAAUUAAUAUGUGUUGUUAUUUGUGGGGGCUACGUACGUCGAAGUAACGAGAGUCCGUACUUGUCUACUAUUCCUAUUUAUGUUCGGGUAGUUUUAGGUUCACGCCAUCCUUGUGGACACAGUUAUUUGAUUAUAUUUGUUAACUGUAUCAAAUUGAACUGAGUUGAGGAUUUUUAAGGAUUUAAAAGCUUCAAAUCGAAUUGUCUUUAUUUUAAAAAGAGUCAAGGAAGGGUUAUGAUUUGUUGAUAAAUUUAUAUUUGACCGCGUAGCAUGUAUGAUUCGCGAACGGGGUAAUAGAUGCAUCUAUGGUUCGCGCCGUUCGACCCUCAGCAGUGUACAAUUUACAUUUAUAUUGGAUCGGGCCGAACGUCCUUGGUGGUAUUCGGGUGUGAUAAUAUAACUAGAAGUUCCUUUCAUAAUCAGUAUAUAUUCAUUGUUUGUGUGAUCAUAUGUUUUAAAGGAAGGGAGUGAUUUAAGCUCUUAAAUAUUUCUGAAGACUUGUUCAAUUAUUUCUUAUUCCAAGUCUUAUUGUUCUACAUCAUGCUUAAUUAGAAUUUUAUAUUAUCAUGUUAUUGGCCCUAGUAAGUGUCGGAGUCGAUCCUUCGUCACUACUUCUUCGAGGUUAGACUAGAUACUUAUUGGGUACAUAUUAUUUAUGUACUCACGCUACACUUCUGUACUUAAUUGUACAGGAUUUGAGGCAGGUGCAUCUGGUUACCAGUCUGGUGCGCAGAUUUGAUCCCCAUCUCGAGACUUCACGAUGAGCUGCCUUCCGAGUCGUUCUGCAGCAGCUGGAUUCUCUCUUAUGUUGUAAUUUUUUUUCUGUCUAUUUCAUUCCAGGCAGUAGGCUAGUGUCCUUUUGUAUAUUCCACUAGAUUGCCCACAUACUUGUGAUACCAGGUCUUGGCACACACACUAGUAGACUUAUGAUUUUGGAUUCGUUUACAUGAUUGCGAUUUGUACUCGUUUGCUUCCGUUUAAAUUAUGUCACAUUCGUAAAUUUCUAAAUCUCUUUAACAAAUGAGGAAAUGUUAUCCACUUAGUAUUUUAUUUAAACGGAAAACCAUUAGUUUGAUCAGUGUUGGCUUGCCUAACUAUGCGAUUCUUAGUUUUAAUGUUGUUUUGGGUGUUCCGAGAGUUCGAGCGAGUUCGUUUUAUGAUUCCAAACUUGUUGGUAUGUUCGGAAGGGGCCCCGAGUGUCAAUCGGACGAGGCUCGGACCAAGAUGAGAAUUUGGAGCAGCAGCUGAUGCACCAGAUCUGUCAAAACCGCACCUGCGCUUGGUCAGCCGCAGGUGCGAGCUCGCAGGUACGGGCCAAGCCUCGCAGAAGAAGCCAAAGUAGGGCAGCUCAGGUUAAAUGCGACCCAUCCUUCGCAGAAGCGGGACCGCAGAAGUGGGUGUCUGCUGAAGCGGUCCUAGUCGGCCCAGUGAAAUCCGCAGAAGCGGACCCUUGUCUGCAGAAGCGAGGGCGUAGGUGCGGCCCUAUGACCGCAGGUGCGAAAAUCGCUGGAGGCAGUGAGCCUCAUUUAUUACGGGUUAGGACCAUUUUUAUCACAUAUUUUUCCACUCUUUGGCGAUUUAAGAGCUUCUAAGGAGGGAAUUUCUACCUAGCUUGGUGAGGUAAGUAAUUUCUUCUAAAUAUGAGUUUAGUACAUAUAUUAUGGGUAAAUUUCCACAGUAAAAUUGGUAGAAAUCAUGGGUUGAGAUAAAAAACCUAGGGUUUAAUAAAAAUGAGAUUUUACCACGAAAAUGAUUAUGAAACUUAGUGAAAAUUAUAUAUUAUGUUCCUAAGGUUAUGGGUAACAACUUUCUUCAAAGCUUUCCGGAAUUCGGGCAUGUAGGCUCGGGGUGAAUUUUAGAAAUCUUGCAAUUUUGGUUGGGUAAUCACUUUAAUAGUGGAUAUAUGAACUUUAGAGCAAUAGAUUUAUCGAUUUAUAUAAUCUUUGGCUAGUUCCGAGUCAUUUGGCAUCAAAUUUGGAGGUUUGAGCUUAUUCUUAGUAAAUCUCUUUUCUAUCCUUAUAAGAGGGAACUUACCCCAUAGGUAAACUUAAUUAAUAUAUGUUGUUAUUUGUGGGGGCUACGUACGCACGAAGUGAUGAGAGUCCGUACGUAGCUACUAUUCUUGUUUAUGUCCGGAUAGUUUUAGGUUUACGCCAUGCUUGUGGACACAGUUAUUUGAUUAUAUUUGUUAAGUGUAUCAAAUGGAACUGAGUUGAGAAUUUUUAAGGAUUUAACAGUUUCAAGUCGAAUUGUCUUUAUUUUGAAAAGAGUCAAGGAAGGGUUAUGAUUUGUUGAUAAAUUUAUAUUUGACUGCGUCGCAUGUAUGAUUUGCGAGCGGGUAAUAGAUGCAUCUAUAGUUCAUGCUGUUCGACCCUCGACAGUGCACAGUUUAUAUUUAUAUUGGAUCGGACCGAACAUCCUCGGUGGUAUUCGUAUGUGAUAAUAGAACUGGAAGUUCCUUUCAUAAUCGAUAUAAAUUCAUUGUUUGUGUGAUCAUAUGCUUUAAAGGAAGGGAGUGAUUCAAGCUCUUAAAUAUUUCUGAAGACUUGUUCAGUUAUUUCUUGUUCCGAGUCUUAUUGUUGUACAUCAUGCUUAAUUAGAAUUUCAUAUUAUCAUGUUAUUGGCCCUAGUAAGUGUCGGAGUCGACCCCUCGUCAAUACUUCUUCGAAGUUUGACUAGAUACUUAUUGGGUACAUAUUAUUUAUGUAUUCACGCUACACUUCUGUACUUAAUUGUACAGGAUCUGAGGUAGGUGCAUCUGGUUACCAGUCUAGUGCGCAGAUUUGAUCCCCAUCUCGAGACUUCACGGUGAGCUGCCUUCCGAGUCGUUCUGCAGCAGCUGGAGUCUCCCUUAUGUUGUAUUUUUUUUCUUUUUCUGUCUAUUUCAUUCCAGGCAGUAGGCUAGUGUCCUUUUGUAUAUUCUACUAGAUUGCCCACAUACUUGUGAGAUCAGGUCUUGGCACACACACUAGUAGACUUAUGAUUUUGUAUUCGUUUACAUGAUUACGAUUUGUACUCGUUUGCUUCCGUUUAAAUUAUGUCACCUUCGCAAAUUUCAAAAUAUCUUUAACAAAUGAGAAAAUGUUAUCUACUUAGUAUCUUAUUUAAAUGGAAAACCAUUAGUUUGAUCAGUGUUGACUUGCUUAACAAUGGUGUAGGGCGCCAUCACGGCCUAAGAUGGAAUUGGGUCGAAACACAUCUUUUACUUGAGUCAAAGUCAAAAAUUAUAAUUUUGAUAAUGACCUAGAACUGUUAUCACCUGGUAUCUGCGGCUCUAUUUCUUAACUGUGCAAAAUAAAUUCACAGUUGUACAUUUUAAAAAUAGCUUUAACUGCAUAUCACUCUCUCUCAAAUCAUAAACUUAUGCCAAGAUAUUUAAAUCAAGGAGUAACUUUAUGUUAAAAAUUUAUACUUUGUCAAGCAUAUGAAAAGGAAAACACUCAUGGAAGAGGCAAGAAAUAUUAAAGUGCAUCUCCACCCAAAUACAAUAGACUAAGAGCUAACAUAAAAUUUAAUAAAGCCACCAACUAGAAGAACAAAAGCAAGGUUGAACAUACGAUUUGCCAGACAAGGUUUCGAAUUUUGUAGACUAUUAAAAAGAAUAAAACAAAAAUAAAGAAAUUAUCUUAUCUUUAGUUGAUUCUGCAUAUUGACUAUUGUUUCAUGGAAUGUAGAUACAAGAUUUUAAUAUUUGGUAAUAAUUUCUUUCCUAUCUGAAAUAAAUCACAUCUAUAAUUAAAUAUUGCUCGAUUUACCAGAUUUCAAGUUCAAAUUUUAAUAAAAAUAAACAGAAAUCAACACCAAUUGUAAUAAAGGGAGCCUCAAACAAACCAAGGCAUUUUCUAAUUUAUUCUACAAUAUAAUUUAAUGGUGGAAGAUUGCUUACAGUAAAUGCUGAUGAUAUCAACAUCUGCUUCUUAAAAUCAGGUACUAUCUGCUCAAACUCGGCAAUCAUCACCGAUGGUCCGUAUAACUGAAUAUUAGGAAAACAUUUUCAUGCGUGUAGAAUUUAUAAUAUUGUACGACAUGAGUAAUUGGAAACACCAUAUGCACAUCCAAAGGAGGAUCUGUUAUAGGGCACAAUGAACUAACAACAAUUCCAAUUAAGCAUAAUCCUUCUCUAGUAAGCCAUUUCAAUUUAAGCAUAAACCAAUUUAUUUUCCGAUACAAAAUAUCAUAAUUUACUUUAGCAAUAAAAAUAGAGAUCUCCAGUUUACUUAACAGAUAGUGAGCUCUAAUACCACCAACCUACUCCCAAAAAUUAAGAGGCAAAAUCAUCAGCUACAAGCAACAAAUUGAGAGGAAAACUCCAUUCCUUCGGAAAGUAUCAUAGAAAGGCCACUUGUCCACAUGCUUUGUCAAGAAAAUAUUGAUAAAAUCUUCUCAUUCUUUGCCAAGAAAAUAUCGUCUCAUACCCAGUGUGAAAAAUCCCAAAUGUACUCCAUAAUUGUCAAUUACUCCUUCCAAUUUUCAUCUAAACCCGCUCUCGCCAUUUGUUUAGGUUGAGAAAUAGCAAAAACUUUUAGAAAAGGGGCUUUUUUUCCUAUAGAGCUGAAAGACUUCAAGAUACAAGAAGGUUAAGAAGAAAUAGAAUAGAAGAACUUAUUUAUAUUUGCACGAACUAAGAUUCACAAUUAAAACAGAGCCAAAGGUAAGAAAUCUAAAAGGGAAGAGAGAGAUAGAGAGAUAGAGAGAUAGUAACCGACGGAAAUAUUUAAUGGUAAAGGAAUUGUCGAUGAGUUCGUCGGGUCACAGCAAAGGGAUAGAGGAUUCAAAAUUUCACAACCGAUGGAACGUUGUUGAGAAGUGUAUUGUAGAAAAUGAUUUUGGGGGUGUUUUUUCUCGUUUGUCUGGGGUUUAUUUUUGUAACCUUUCAUUUUAAGGGCGGCUUCCAAGUCGCUACAACAACCUCAUAUUAGCGGCGACAAUUCAUCAGUCGCCACAAACGAAUCUUUUAGCCAAAUUUUAUUUUUCAAGUGAGGAAAACUUUUGAUUUUAUUUGCACCUAUUUGUGGCGGCUCUUUUUUUAUCGCCACUAAUAUGUUACUUAAUGUGGCAACUAUCCAGGUCGCAACUAAAACCCUUAGUAUUGAGGCAACUCUUUUCGUCACAUCAAAAG
rnacentral:lncRNA from 1 species